GCCUGGGCCCCCCGCGCGCCGCCCGCCAUGCCGCCUCCCCCCCCCCGGCCCGCCGUGGGGGGCACCCGCCCCCUGACCCCCCCCGACACGCGCGCGACCCCCAGACACGCGUGUGCGACCCCCGGACACGCGUGUGCGCUGCCCCCCCCCCACCCCGGGCUGAGGGCGGCGGGGGGCUCAUGGCUGCCGGCCCGCCGCACCCCCCAGCAUGGAGGUGAGGGGCCACGUCCUCCCCGCCGGCGCCUACAGCCCCACAGGCGGCGGGGGCCGGGGGGGGCCGGGGGGGGGCCCGGCCCGGCUGCAGGAGCUGCGGGAGCGGCAGCGGGGGCUGCGCCAGGCCCUGGGGCUGCGGCUGCAGGAGCUGCGACGCCUCUGCCGCCAGGA